rnacentral:rRNA from 1 species
GAUGAACGCUGGCGGCAUGCCUAACACAUGCAAGUCGGACGGGAGGAGAUUUGUCCAGUGGCGGACGGGUGAGUAACGCGCAAGAACCUGCCCUAGGGAGCGGAACCACAGCUGGCAACGGCUGCUAAUACCCCGUAGUCUGAGUAGCAAAAGGUGGGACCCGCGCGUGGAGGGGCUGGGGAAGGGUAACCUAGGUGGUGGGGCGAUAGCUUACCAAGGUGAUGAUUAGUAGCUGGUCCGAGUGAAUGAUGGGCCACACUGGGACUGAGAGACGGACAGGAGUCCUGAGGAAGACGGCAGUGGGGAAGUUCCCGCAAUGCGGGGUGGCCUGAGAGAGCAAUGCCGUGGGGAGGUAGAAUGGUCACGAGAGGUAAGCAGCUUUUCAAGAAGAAGAUGCAAUGACGGUAUCUGACGAAUAAGCAUCGGCUAACUCCGUG